rnacentral:sRNA from 1 species
AAAAUAUAUCCUACAAGUAUAGCACUCAUGUUUUAAUCAGUUCGUCACCAUCAAAGUACAAUAUCCUUUUUUGUUUAAAAUUUAGGCUUCUCAGGAAGCAAAAAUGAUCAAACCCAUGACAAUAAAUGUGGAUCUUUCUGCUAUUGCUUUCUUAUUGCCCUUAUGGGAAUUAAAUUAUUUUAUUGAAAUCUCUUUACUUAUCGUUUCUUGCCUUGAGGGGAACUUAGUACUGACUGCUAAAAUGUUGCAAAGACAAAUGUUGAGCAUCUUUACUGUGUGUGAUUAGUAAUUUCUUCUUUGCUAACCUGCAGGUAUUAUCAUGGUCCAACUCCAAUCCAGUCACUACAGUAUGCAACAAGUCAGGACAUUAUUAAUUCUUUUCAAAGUAUUAGACAAGAAAUGGAAGCUUAUACACCCAAGUUAACUCAGGUUCUCUCAAGUAGUGCUGCCAGUAGUACCAUCACAGCACUGUCACCUGGAGGGGCACUUAUGCAGGGAGGAACACAGCAAGCCAUAAACCGUAUGUGCCGGGCCAUCUUCUACUACUUUCUGCCUAAAUCAGCUUUAAAAAGCAAGCUGG